GAUGAACGCUGGCGGCGUGCUUAACACAUGCAAGUCGAACGGAAAGGCGCUGCUCUUGCGGGGUGCUCGAGUGGCGAACGGGUGAGUAACACGUGAGUAACCUGCCCUUGACUUUGGGAUAACUCCAGGAGACUGGGGCUAAUACCGGAUAGGAGCUCCUGCUGCAUGGUGGGGGUUGGAAAGUUUCGGCGGUUGGGGAUUGACUCGCGGGUUAUCAGCUUGUUGGUGGGGUAGUGGCUUACCAAGGCUUCGACGGGUAGCCGGCCUGGGAGGGUGACCGGCCACAUUGGGACUGAGAGACGGCGCAGACUCCUACGGGAGGCAGCAGUGGGGAAGAUUGCACAAGGGGCGGAAGCCUGAUGCAGCAGCGCCGCGUGCGGGAUAACGGCCUUCGGGUUAUAAACCACUUUCGCCUGUAACGAAGCGUGAGUGACGGUAAUGGGUAAAAAAGCACCGGCUAACUACGUG
rnacentral:rRNA from 1 species